AAGCGACGUUCAACCGCAAAAGAAGCAGAGGGGGCUUAGUGGUGGGGUGACUGCGUACCUUUUGUAUAAUGGGUCAGCGACUUAUAUUCUGUAGCAAGGUUAACCGUAUAGGGGAGCCGGAGGGAAACCGAGUCUUAAUUGGGCGUUAAGUUGCAGGGUAUAGACCCGAAACCCGGUGAUCUAGCCAUGGGCAGGUUGAAGGUUGGGUAACACUAACUGGAGGACCGAACCGACUAAUGUUGAAAAAUUAGCGGAUGACCUGUGGCUGGGGGUGAAAGGCCAAUCAAACCGGGAGAUAGCUGGUUCUCCCCGAAAGCUAUUUAGGUAGCGCCUCGUGAAUUCAUCUCCGGGGGUAGAGCACUGUUUCGGCUAGGGGGCCAUCCCGGCUUACCAACCCGAUGCAAACUGCGAAUACCGGAGAAUGUUAUCACGGGAGACACACGGCGGGUGCUAACGUCCGUCGUGAAGAGGGAAACAACCCAGACCGCCAGCUAAGGUCCCAAAGUCAUGGUUAAGUGGGAAACGAUGUGGGAAGGCCCAGACAGCCAGGAUGUUGGCUUAGAAGCAGCCAUCAUUUAAAGAAAGCGUAAUAGCUCACUGGUCGAGUCGGCCUGCGCGGAAGAUGUAACGGGGCUAAACCAU
rnacentral:rRNA from 1 species